AACGUCAAGCUGGCCCUGGACAUCGAGAUCGCCACCUACAGGAAGCUGCUGGAGGGCGAGGAGAACCGGAUCACCAUUCCCGUGCAGACCUUCUCCAACCUGCAGAUUCGAGGUCAGUAUAGCAGGGCCUCGUGGGAAGGGCACUGGAGUCCUGCCCCCUCCUCCAGGGCCUGUAGGUUGCUCCGGACUGGGACUGAGGAUCAGGGCAAAGGGAUCCAGCUCUCCCUCUCCCUGGGGGCCUUCGUGACACCGCAGCGCUCCUAGCCAGAGCCUAUCAUACCAGGGUACUUCUAGGCGGGGCUUGCAGCUGCUCCUGUCCUGCUAGGCCCUGGGUCCCUCUUCCCCUCCCUGCACCCCAUUCCACAGCAGAACUGAGUGAGAUCUUGACAUCUGCCCUGUCUGCAGAUCCCUGAGCAAGCACUGCCCUUCUGAGUGUUUUCUGUUUUUGUUUUUUUAACUGCUUGUCACUACAGGGGGCAAAAGCACCAAAGACGGGGAAAAUCACAAGGUCACAAGACAUCUCAAAAGCCUCACAAUACGAGUUAUACCAAUACAGGCUCACCAGAUUGUAAAUGGAGCGCCGCCGGCUUGCGGUUAGCUGCCUGCCUCUCAGACACGGCGCUUUGCCCAGCUUGACAGGGAAAACCAGCCUGGACACCAAGUCUGUGUCAGAAGGCCACCUCAAGAGGAACAUCGUGGUGAAGACAGUGGAGAUGCGGGAUGGAGAGGGUACCCACCCAGAGACAUCUGGUAUCAUUUAACAAACACAUUGAAGGACAACUGGUCUUCAGAGCUGAAGAGAUAUCCUAGGGGGAGAAGUUAGGACAACAGUGAAAUAAGUAGCAGCAGCAACGACAGAGGUGAAUGGUGACAAAGACUGCCGUGAUGAGCAGGUAGCCUAUCAGGGUGAGCUCCACAGCAGAGCGAGUCUCAGGAUCCGAGAACGAGGCUGGGUAGCGCCCACGAGAUGUCACACCCAGCCGGAAACCAGCAACUCGCACACCCUGCCUCCAGCAAUAGUAGAUGCCCCGGUCAUCCAGCUGGGUGAAGCGGAUGUGGAGCUGGUUGCCGUGGUCAAUGAACACCCUCAUGGACCUGUUGACACCCUUCAGGUACUGUGUGCGGUAGAGGUGCUGGCGGUCUUUGUCCCAGGCCACUGCAUGCUCUGGCCGGGCCCCAGGACAGGAGAUGAUGAGGCCAUGGCCCAGUCUCUGCUGGUGGAACUGAAUGGGCACCUGGGGCACCCAGGGCCGGCUGCCCACUUUGGACACAUAGUUAACGAUGGCCAGCACGCCCUCCCGGAUGGUCUUCGUCUUCUCACAGGGUACUAAGCAGCUCCGAACCAGCACCUCAGGCGUGUGGUCCCUGGCCUUGGUCCACAGCUUCCUUGGCACAGCCCUUGAGCCACAAGACACCACAUCGGGCACCGCCUUGAGGUAGCGUGGGGAGAGGUCUGGGCUCUGCAGGUAGCAGAGGCCAAUGCGCCACUGCUCCCCACGUACCCCGCAGCGGUCACAGGGGGUCCAUUCCCAGAAGGUGGUGAAGACAUGGAGGUGCCCAUAGUAUUCAUCUGCGAAGGGCUCCUGGCCCUCGUCCUGGAAAGUGGCCACCAUUCCCUCACUGUUCUGGAUGUCCACAUCGUAGGCGUAAAAGUAGUCCCCCUUGCGGGUGCCGCAGAAGUACAGGCCUGAGUCCUCAGGCUGAGCCCUGAAAACCAACAGGCUGAACAUGCGGAUGCUGAAGCGGGUCAGCAUGUCGCUGCCCACACGUACCUGGGCUGCCUCUGUCAGCACCCGCCCAUCAAAGUCCGUCAGCACUUUGGUGUGGCUGCUACCUAGGUGCUUUUGGUAGAACCAGACUACAGCUGUCAUCUUUUCGGGUUUGCAGUGACAGGGAAGCUCAAAGCUCAUGUCGGCCAGGUAGGCCGCAUUUUCAAACAUCAGGAAAGCAGGGCAGGGGGUCUUCUGAAAAAUGUUUUCUUUCUCCACAAUUUCGAAGGCCUGGAGACUCCCCCAUGCCCACAGGAGCACAGUGGUGGGGGCCAGGUGCAUGCCUGAAGGAGGCAGGGGUCAGAGGAGCAGGGCAAAACCAAGGCAUUAAAGGCUCAUGGGGCUCCUAGAAAGCACUGCUGAGCGGAGGCCUCUGGAUGAGGAAAGGAUUAUGCAGCUAGGAAAAGCAGCAACAAUCUGCAGAGGAAGCCGCCAAGUGCAAGGCAAUGUAUUCCCGGUGGAUGCCCUUCUAACAUUCCAGACCUGAUCUCGAGGGGAAAGCCAUUCUAGAACCUGGCCUUCACUCCCCUUUCUAGAACACUGGCACUCACCCAAGAAUGGGUCAAAGGAAACCGGAAUGAGAAGGGCGGGCCGAGGUGCUCGGGCAGGGAGAUCUCUGCCUCAGUGCUCCAGGCCCUGUCCUGCCGGCCUGGUGGAAAAGUCUUUCAUCAACCUGGGGGAUGAAGGAAACCCACCCUCCUGUAUAUCUGGCCAUUUGGGAGGCUGGCUGGACCUGAGCUGAUGGCUUGGGGCUUUCCCAGGCCCAACCUGCACAAGAACUGAGUCUCCAGGGGAAAAUUCAACACCUCAAAUGAGGUAGUAUUUGAUCAUUUGUUGAUUACACGUCCAUUCAUUGGUUUGGGGCU
rnacentral:sRNA from 1 species